rnacentral:rRNA from 1 species
GAUGAACGCUAGCUACAGGCUUAACACAUGCAAGUCGAGGGGAAACGCCAUCGAAAGCUUGCUUUUGAUGGGCGUCGACCGGCGCACGGGUGAGUAACGCGUAUCCAACCUGCCCACCACUUGGGGAUAACCUUGCGAAAGUAAGACUAAUACCCAAUGAUAUCUCUAGAAGACAUCUGAAAGAGAUUAAAGAUUUAUCGGUGAUGGAUGGGGAUGCGUCUGAUUAGCUUGUUGGCGGGGUAACGGCCCACCAAGGCAACGAUCAGUAGGGGUUCUGAGAGGAAGGUCCCCCACAUUGGAACUGAGACACGGUCCAAACUCCUACGGGAGGCAGCAGUGAGGAAUAGUGGUCAAUGGACGAGAGUCUGAACCAGCCAAGUAGCGUGCAGGAAGACGGCCCUAUGGGUUGUAAACUGCUUUUAUAAGGGAAUAAAGUGAGUCUCGUGAGACUUUUUGCAUGUACCUUAUGAAUAAGGACCGGCUAAUUCCGUG